rnacentral:lncRNA from 1 species
GUGGUCAACCUUUAUUGAUGGAUAUUUGUUAUCUUUGGUCUUGAUUUUCCCUUUAUAUUAUGUUUUCCUGGCUCAUUAUAUGUGUCUUUUGUUGCAAACUAUCUCAAAUCCUAUAUGGGAAGAGCUAAAGUGGAUUCAAAGUUCUGAAGAAUGAAUGACUUCUAAAGAAUAAGUCUUCCUUGGGGAGUGAAAUAGUUUGCAGUUUGUUGUAGUCCCACUAAACCUCCUUUGUUGAUCUUGAAAUAUUUCAUCAUACAGAAGUGCAUGUAGAAUAGUAUCUCAAAUAAAUACCCUGCAAGCACCACCAAGCAUAACACAUCUUAAUAUUUUCCACAUUUGUUUCAGAUUUUAAAAAUAACACAUUGGAAAUAGAGAUGGAGCCUCUGUGUACCCUCUUCCCCUCCCAAAAGGCUGUCAUCUUUGCCAAAGGUUGGAUGAAAAUGGAGCCAGGAGUUGAAGGCCAGAAGUUCUCCACACCUACCUCACACAUCCAGCCUCUGGGUAUUUACAUUUUCUGCUACAUUGCAAACCAGUGUAACUAACUCGGCUUCUCUGUCUUCUGUCACUGUGAAAUACCACCUUUCCAUGGCAAUAGGGAUACAUUUUCCUUUGAAUCCGUGCAUGUGUGUGUGUGUGUUUGUGUGUGUGUGUGUGUGUGCGCGCAUGCACAUGUACUGCUGAGAAUUGAACCCAUCGCCUUGCACAUGCUAGACAAGCACUCUACCACUGAGCUAUACUCCUGGACCCCAAGUCUUUUUAGAACAGGAUGCAGCAGGAGUUGCCCAUCAGAGGAGGAGGUUCAGAACCC